UCUGCAGUCACCGCCCCUGUAACCCAAUCAUAUUAGGAUCAGUGUCAGCAGGGUCACCGCCUUGAUUUCAUCGUCUUAUCCUUCCGGUACUUUGAAUUACCCUUCCGUUCUCACUCUUCGUAUUCACCGCUUCUCGGUUCUAUCUUCACCACCGAUCCAGACUGAUCCGUUUUUCAACUUGCUCCAAGUAUGUUUUUCCUUGCUUCCGUUCUGACCUCCACCGCUUCAUCUCACUUCCGCUGUCAUGCUUUGGAAUUCCGGUAGCUAAUCUUAUCGGCUUCCUCUAUCCUUCAUUGACACCCAUCUACACCGCCUCACAGUAGUCGAUUGGCGGAGGAAGUAGUCAGGCGGAUGAGAGGGAGGGUAGGUGCCCUGUCUCUAACACCGAUGGCCAUGUUACCACCGCUCCCCUCUUCUGCAAUUUCUUAUCAAGCCAGUUGAUUCAAAAAGAGAGAAAUAGGGGUUUUACUUAACUGUGUUUUUAGGUGACCGUGAGUAAGUUUGUUGUUUAAGAUUGUGUGAAAAUUGCAGGUUCCAUUCGUUUAAUUUUUCUUUAAUAAUUGUUCUUGGAAUUAUCUAUAUACAUUUGUUUGUAAGGUAUUGUGAUUUUGGGCCAUGUCUCAGGUUGAUGGAAGUCACAUCGGUGCUCAUGGAACUCUUGAGCCCUUAAUAAUCAACAUAUGUAAGGAUAAUGUUACAUAUUAACAUUAUCCUUGAAUAAUCAAGUUUGUGAGUUUUUCUACCGCCUCCAACGGCUUUGAUCUCGUUGUACCCGCAACUGGAAUAGACCGACAUAGAGAGAUUGCAGGACAUCGAAGAGGGAGACAGAAAGAAGUGUCAUUCGACUGUUUCUGGUGAUGGUGUCACAAUAUCGAUUGCCAGUGAUGGUGGUCGGAAGCGCGGUCCUGGCGAAUUUGGGGGUAUUACCCCAGCUCCUUUCAUCUCCACCGACAUCAUUCGAUUUACGAGUUUCUGCAUUGGGUUUUUUAAGUGUUUGGGGGAACAAAAUUUGAUCGGCUGCUACCGGUUCUGAUCGUUACCCUGCUUCUCUACAUGCCCCCUUGAUGAGUUCUCCAGAGCCUCCCCCUUAUAUUCCCGAGCAACCGUUUCCAUACCAAGGUGGCUAUGGAGGACAAUAUGGUCAAACUGAAUAUCAAGCUCAUAGCCACCGAUGCUGUUGGGGAAGCAGGCCUGCUCGAACAUGGAAGAUCCAUUAUGUUGAAGACUGCAAUGUCUAUGUUGGAGCCCUUGAAACUUUUGUUGAAGAAAGAGAAGUCAUCACUGAAACAGAACCAUAUCAUGGAAACAACAACAUUGAUGGAAAAGAUAAAGGCCCUGAACUUGGUGUUUUGGAACUGGAUUUAAGGUCAGAAUUCCCAGUUCUAUUCACUCAUCAAAAAGAAUCCCGUGCCCAAAUCCCCCAUUCAGAAUCCAUCAAAAAAUGCUCAGAUUGUGAAGGAAGAGGAGAUAUUAUUUGUGGUAAAUGCAAUGUUGAUCAGGAACCAGGAGUUUGGAAGCAAUAUGUGAAGUUGGGGCCAACUCAACCUGUGAAUUGGUGUAAUCUACAUGUUUCGCUUGCUCCCUGAAGAUUAUAGUGUGUCGUCUGUGAUUCAGGUCUUCUCCCACCACCGCACAAGUCUUUCGAAUUUGACAACUUUAACUUUCAAUAGGAAGACAAACAUCACUGCAAAAGGAGUGUGCAGUAAGUGAGAUUUUGUACUGUUGGGUUCAUGAAGAGAUAACUCAAAUUUGAUGAAGUUCUUUUUUCUUUUCAAUUUCAUCAUUAUCAUAUACAUUUUUGUUUGAUUAUAUUCUAAUGUAAGACCUAUUUUAUGGUUUAGAUGAUGAGAAAUGUAGGGCAAGAGCAACCAAUGAGACGGUAUUGCUCCUUUUUUUUGUAUUCCUUGCUUUUGGAGGUUUCAAAAUGUGGUCGGUAUUGUUAUUUUUGUCUACAAAAAGCUACAAGGUUGAUUGGAGCGUUGUAUUACACAUUACAAGUUCCAUUAAAUUUUUGGAUAACCUAUUAA